UACGUAGGGUGCGAGCGUUGUCCGGAAUUAUUGGGCGUAAAGAGCUCGUAGGCGGUGUGUCACGUCGGCCGUGAAAACCUGCAGCUUAACUGUGGGCGUGCGGUCGAUACGGGCAUUACUGGAGUUCGGCAGGGGAGACUGGAAUUCCUGGUGUAGCAGUGAAAUGCGUAGAUAUCAGGAGGAACACCGAUGGCGAAGGCAGGUCUCUGGGCUGACACUGACGCUCAUGCACGAAAGCGUGGGGAGCAAGCAGG
rnacentral:rRNA from 1 species